UUUCCACCAACAUAACUGAUUAGAUAUAAAGAGAUGGAGAAGUUUUCAUUCAAUUUAUUUAUAUUCGUUGUAAUCUUAAUCUUUGCAACUCAUUUAGAGAUGAUGGCAGAGGCAAAAGGACCUGUCAUUUCGUGUAGAUGCAACAAAACUGAAGAUUGUGAUGGUAUUUGCGCCUUGUACUCCAACUAUAAGUGCAAUAAUAACCGUUGUACCUGCCUUUCAGACGCACCUCCAUUUUCAUUGUUUUAAAAUUUACACACUCCUAUAAUUAAAUUAAAUGGUGGGAUUUUUUGUAUAAUUUGAAAUAAAUUAUCAUGCAAUGGAUUUAAUAAAAAAUAUUAUUGUUAUUUUAUUUUAA